UACCAGCACCCCGAGUGGUCGGGACGAUUAUUGGGGCCUAAAGCAUCCGUAGCCGGUCCUGCAAGUCUUCCGUUAAAUCCAGCUGCUCAACAGAUGGGCUGCGGAGGAUACUACAGGGCUAGGAGGCGGGAGAGGCAAGCGGUACUUUAUGGGUAGGGGUAAAAUCCGUUGAUCCAUAGAAGACCACCAGUGGCGAAGGCGGCUUGCCAGAACGCGCUCGACGGUGAGGGAUGAAAGCUGGGGGAGCAAACCGG
rnacentral:rRNA from 1 species